UGUACCUACGGGGGGCAGCAGUAGGGAAUAUUGCUCAAUGGGGGAAACCCUGAAGCAGCAACGCCGCGUGGAGGAUGAAGGUUUUCGGAUUGUAAACUCCUUUUGUUAGAGAAGAUAAUGACGGUAUCUAACGAAUAAGCACCGGCUAACUCCGUGCCAGCAGCCGCGGUAAUACGGAGGGUGCAAGCGUUACUCGGAAUCACUGGGCGUAAAGAGCGCGUAGGCGGGAUAGCAAGUCAGAUGUGAAAUCCUAUGGCUUAACCAUAGAACUGCAUUUGAAACUGUUGAACUUGAGUGCAGAAGAG
rnacentral:rRNA from 1 species